rnacentral:rRNA from 1 species
GAUGAACGCUGGCUACAGGCUUAACACAUGCAAGUCGAGGGGAAACGGCAUUGAGUGCUUGCACUGAAUGGACGUCGACCGGCGCACGGGUGAGUAACGCGUAUCCAACCUUCCCGUUACUGCGGGAUAACCUGCCGAAAGGCAGACUAAUACCGCAUGUUCUUCGAUGACGGCAUCAGAUUCGAGGCAAAGACUCGUCGGUAACGGAGGGGGAUGCGUCUGAUUAGCUUGUUGGCGGGGUGACGGCCCACCAAGGCGACGAUCAGUAGGGGUUCUGAGAGGAAGGUCCCCCACAUUGGAACUGAGACACGGUCCAAACUCCUACGGGAGGCAGCAGUGAGGAAUAUUGGUCAAUGGGCGGAAGCCUGAACCAGCCAAGUAGCGUGCAGGACGACGGCCCUACGGGUUGUAAACUGCUUUUAUGCGGGGAUAAAGUGAGGGACGCGUCCCUUUUUGCAGGUACCGC